UACGGAGGGUGCAAACGUUGCUCGGAAUCAUUGGGCGUAAAGCGCACGUAGGCGGCUCGUUAAGUCGGGUGUGAAAGCCCUGGGCUCAACCCAGGAAGUGCAUUCGAAACUGGCGAGCUUGAAUAUGGAAGAGGGUCGCGGAAUUCCCGGUGUAGAGGUGAAAUUCGUAGAUAUCGGGAGGAACACCAGUGGCGAAGGCGGCGACCUGGGCCAAUAUUGACG
rnacentral:rRNA from 1 species